UUUCAAAGUCUUCAGAUCCCAAAUCCUCCAAACACUCCAAGACAACCUCUGGAGGUGUUGCCAUCUUUUGUCCUGCUAAGAUCUGAAAGCCUGCUUUUCCCUCCACACCUGUCCUGCAUCAGCCUCAUCAGCCCUGCCCUGUUCCAUUUGUUCUCCCAGCCAAUCGGCUCCCUUCCUGUUCUCCUGCCUAGUCACCUGUUCCCUGUUCCCUGAUCCUGUCUGCCUGCCGUCUCUUGCACUUGGGUCCACCUGCCUUCACUCCAUCAUGACAGAACAAUUCAAACAAUAAUGGACCCAGCGGAUGGAUUGUUUUCUCAAAAACUAUGUGAGAUAACUUAUAACCUUUUGUGUCUUUGAAAUGACUGGAAAUAGGCCUCCAGUAGUGAGGACAGAGAGGCAGCCUUAUCAUUGGCACACCGGGCAGCGUCUUCAAAGUCUUGGUUGAAGAAAUUGCUACCUGGGUGGGCAGAGGACUUUAUUAACACUCAUGAAUCCCAGCCUGCACCUCAGUCAGCUAACCACCAGCAUGCUAGCUACCAGCAUGCUAGCCUUCACCAUGCAUCUCAGCCUGCACUCCAGUAGGCCUUUUCCAUAUACAUGUGCUGGCUUGGUUUGACUCGGUGCAUCAGCCCAGUGCUGCUGGGAUUUGCGUCUUCAUUACAACAGGGCUACCUGCUUGAAGGUGUCUUAAAAGACCACUUUACUGAUUUUCAACCAUAUCUCCAUCUAUCUGAAUUAGGGAUGUAGUGUGAAAAACAGUUGUUUUUAAUGUUCUGUGUCUCUGAGAUGCAGCUUCAAAAUCUGUUGUUCUUCCAGGAACCAGUGACGUCAUUGGUUCUUGAAGAACUACAGCAUGUUUUCUGUAGGACAAUAACAACUGCCACAAAUGGUUUCAUAACAUCUGUGUGGGUUGAGAGGAGGAGCUAGACCAUGAUUAUUUAAUGUCUUAUUGGUGUCUCGAUGGUUAAUCUUUUUUCUUGUCUCAUUAAAAAUAUAUUAUGUGAAUAAAUCUUUUCCUACCAUUCGUCUUUGAUCUAAAAUAUUUAAUUUUAAAUAAUGAACUCUUCUGUUUAUAGUUGUGCUAUGAAUACUCUGCUUGGUGUGAAUUACUUGUAAGAUAU